UUACAAUGAAGGGAUCCCGAUGAGAUGAUGGAAACUAAGACGCAGGAAUAUGAAGGACCUUGAAAUCUAGGACCCUCUCUUUUCUUCAAGCAAAGUGAUGAUGAUCGGAGCGCAAAUUCUUCAUUUUGACUAGCUAUUUC
ensembl:ncRNA W06H8.9 ncRNA